GAUGAACGCUGGCGGCGUGCUUAACACAUGCAAGUCGAACGGACGGAUUGGAGCUUGCUCCAUGAAGUUAGUGGCGGACGGGUGAGUAACGCGUGGGUAACCUACCCUAUGCAGGGGGAUAACGUUUGGAAACGAACGCUAAUACCGCAUAACCUAGUUGGUUCGCAUGAACCGACUAGCAAAGAUUUAUCGGCAUAGGAUGGACCCGCGUUGGAUUAGCUAGUUGGUGAGAUAACAGCCCACCAAGGCGACGAUCCAUAGCCGGCCUGAGAGGGUGAACGGCCACACUGGGACUGAGACACGGCCCAGACUCCUACGGGAGGCAGCAGUGGGGAAUAUUGCGCAAUGGGCGCAAGCCUGAUGCAGCGACGCCGCGUGAAGGAUGAAGGUCUUCGGAUCGUAAACUUCUAUCAGCAGGGAAGAAUACCAUGACGGUACCUGACUAAGAAGCCCCGGCUAACUACGUGCCAGCCGCCGCCGUAAUA
rnacentral:rRNA from 1 species